rnacentral:rRNA from 1 species
UACGUAGGGGGCAAGCGUUGUCCGGAAUCAUUGGGCGUAAAGCGCGUGUAGGCGGCCCGAUAAGUCCGCUGUGAAAGUCCAGGGCUCAACCCUGGGAUGCCGGUGGAUACUGUCGGGCUCGAGUCCGGAAGAGGCGAGUGGAAUUCCUGGUGUAGCGGUGAAAUGCGCAGAUAUCAGGAGGAAUACCGAUGGCGAAGGCAGGUCUCUGGGUCGGUACUGACGCUGAGACGCGAAAGCGUGGGGAGCGAACAGG